rnacentral:rRNA from 1 species
UACGUAGGGUGCGAGCGUUAAUCGGAAUUACUGGGCGUAAAGCGUGCGCAGGCGGUUGUGCAAGACAGAUGUGAAAUCCCCGGGCUCAACCUGGGAAUUGCAUUUGUGACUGCACGGCUAGAGUGUGUCAGAGGGGGGUAGAAUUCCACGUGUAGCAGUGAAAUGCGUAGAGAUGUGGAGGAAUACCGGUGGCGAAGGCAGCCCCCUGGGAUAACACUGACGCUCAUGCACGAAAGCGUGGGGAGCAAACAGG